UACGUAGGGUGCGAGCGUUGUCCGGAUUUAUUGGGCGUAAAGAGCUCGUAGGCGGUUUGUCGCGUCGGCCGUGAAAUCUCCACGCUUAACGUGGAGCGUGCGGUCGAUACGGGCAGACUUGAGUUCGGUAGGGGAGACUGGAAUUCCUGGUGUAGCGGUGAAAUGCGCAGAUAUCAGGAGGAACACCGAUGGCGAAGGCAGGUCUCUGGGCAUUAACUGACGCUGAGGAGCGAAAGCGUGGGGAGCGAACAGG
rnacentral:rRNA from 1 species